GAUGAACGCUGGCGGCGUGCCUAAUACAUGCAAGUCGAACGCUUCACUUCGGUGAGAAUCGGCGAACGGGUGAGUAAUACAUAAAUAACCUGACAUCUAAGGGGGGAUAACUGAUGGAAACGUCAGCUAAGACCGCAUAGGUGUAGAGAUCGCAUGAACUCUAUAUGAAAAGUGCUACGGGACUGGUAGAUGAUGGACUUAUGGCGCAUUAGCUGGGUGGUAGGGUAACGGCCUACCAAGGCGACGAUGCGUACCCGACCUGAGAAGGAGACCGGCCACGCUGGGACUGAGACACGGCCCAGACUCCUACGGGAGGCAGCACUAAGUAAUUUUCGGCGAUGGGGGAAACCCUGACCGAGCAACGCCGCGUGAAGGAAGAAGUAAUUCGUUAUGUAAACUUCUGUCAUAGAGGAAGAACGGUGGAUAUACGGAAAGAUAUAACAAGUGACGGUACUUUAUAAGAAAGCCACGGCUAAGUACGUGCCAGCAGCGCGCGGUAAUACGUAGCAGGCGAGCACUAUCCGGAAUUAUUGGGAGUAAAGAGGGAGCAGGC
rnacentral:rRNA from 1 species